rnacentral:rRNA from 1 species
UUCGUAGGCGGUGUGGCAAGUCGGGAGUGAAAUCUCUGGGCUUAACCCAGAGGCUGCUUCCGAAACUGCCGUGCUAGAGUGCGGGAGAGGCGAGUGGAAUUGCAGGUGUAGCGGUGAAAUGCGUAGAUAUCUGCAGGAACACCCGUGGCGAAGGCGGCUCGCUGGACCGCAACUGACGCUGAGGAACGAAAGCUAGGGGAGCAAACAGGAUUAGAUACCCUGGUAGUCCUAGCCCUAAACCAUCAGGACUUGGGGUGCAUCCCGUUCGGGGUGCGUCCCGUAGCUAACGCGUUAAGUCCUGCGCCUGGGGAGUACAGUCGCAAGGCUGAA